CCCAGGACAGCGAGGAAGAGGAUGACAAUGACUCAAGAGAUUCCAUGAGUCUUUCCAGCGAAUCAGAGGAUUCCCAGAAGGGGGCGCCAGUGGUCAAGGCCAGGGGAGCCCCAGGGGGGACGUGUCAGGAACAGGGGGCCAGCGGGGGAUCCCAAAGUGGCAGCUGGGCGUCAGGACCAGCCUCCCCGCCAGAGUGCAGCGAAGGGGGUGGAGGUUCCAGUGUAUCAGGGGAAGCAGCUCCGGCAGCAGAGAAGGGAGGGAGGUCGGAGCAAGCCACCCUCCCGGAGGGGAGGGGAGUAGUGAAGGGAGUAGUGUAACUGUCAAAAGGAAAGUUAGAGGUUGGGCGCGCGCGCCAAGUUCAAAUGUAGAGGCGCGCGGAAGUACAGGGAGCCCGGAGGAAGAGCCAGGUCCUAAAGCCCGCAGGAGGGGGGAAGAGCAGUCGGGGGAUAGCGCGUCAGGGGAAUCCAGGAGGGGGUUCUCCCCAGCGGGCAGGAAGACCCUGAGGAAAAGGAAAGAGAGAAAGAGGUGGAGCAGCGCAAGGCUCUUAAACUGGUGCAGGGGAGGGACUGACUCAGAGGGGACUUCAACGGUCUAAGCGUACAGACGUGGGGCUGCGCGCCUCGGAUAUGAAGCAAACAAUGAACUGCAAUAAACACUUUUGUAUAUAAGAAGAGAUUGGCGUUGGUCUUUUGUGAGCUGAGACCUGAGGCAGCCUUGACAAAUGGCUUUUGCUUUGUUUGGACUUUUCGUUUUGCGAUUUUGGGGUGAAUAUGCGUACACAAUCAGAACACAAGUUAAAUAAACGUCUUUAUAUGCAUAUGGGUGUGCAUAUUGAAACAAAGUGAACCUGUUUUGCUUUAUUUGGCCUUCUUUGUUUUGCCAUGUUUGGGUGAAUAUGCGUGCACACCCAAAAACCCGAAACCAAGAUAAGCCCAAACAAAAUUUAUUCGUCUUCUUACGACGCAUAUGCAACAAAAAACAGCCUGUCUCUCUCUCUCUCAUUCUCUCUCUUUCCCCCUUCUCUCUCUUCCUUCCCUCUCUCUCUGUCCUUCCUUCCUUGCUUCGUCCUUCCUCCCUUCUCUCUCUCUCUGUCCUUCCUUCCUUGCUUCGUCCUUCCUCUCUUCUCUCUCUCUUUAUCUUUCUCUCCUCUUUCUCUCUCUUCCCUUCAAUCUUUCUCUCCCUAUCGCUUUCUCUCUCUCUCCCUUCCUUCCAUUUUUCUAUCCCCAUCCUUCCAUCUCUCUUCUCUCUUUCCUUCCUUCCUUCUCUCUUUCUCUUUCUUUCUUUCUCUCUCUCUCUCUCCUCUCUUCCUUCCUUCUUUCCAUCUCUCUCCCUUCCUUCCAUCUCUCUCUCCCCUUCCUUCCACCCUCUCUUUCUCUCUCUCUUUCCCUUUCUCCCUUUCCUCUUCCUUCCUUCUCUCUCUCUCUCCUUCCUUCCAUCUAUUUUUCCUCUCUUUUCCCCUUUCUCUCCCCUUCCUCUCGCUCUCUCCUCUCUUUCUCCCUCCAAUUCUCCCUUUCUCUCCCUCUCUCUUUCUUUCCUUUUUCUCUUUCUCUCACCCCUUCCUUCCUUCCUGCACUCAUUCCUUCCCUCUCUCAUUCUCUCUCUCACCCCUUCCUUCCUUCUCCUGAGCUGUUGAAGGCUUUCUCCAUUAGAAGUAGCCCUUGGAAUUGGGUGCAGCUGGUGCUGUCAAGGUAGGAUCUGUGUCAGAUGCUGAAUCUGUCUUGCCCCGGUUAGCAACCUGGCUGCCAACUUCUGCACUGGCUUAAAUGUCCAAAGCGUCUUUGGAGGCAGCCGAAGCGUCUUCGGAGGCGAGAUGCGGACCUUGAGGCUGUCCAGCUGUCACGGCUUUCCCUGUCCGGGGGGGGGCAGCUGGGUCUCCAGUCGAAGUGGAGGGAAGGCCACAGAGGCCCCCCGGCCUCAAGCAAGGACCCUGAAGCAAGGGACCCCCCUCCUUCCGACAAAGGGUCAGCCGAGGAAGAGCUGCCCACUAGGGUUGCCUUAUGAUGGGCAAGAGAGCGAAAUCAUUCAAGGAUGAGGCACAGAGAAUUUCCAUUAGACUUCUUUCUAGUUUUGCCAAGCCUGCUCCUGUCCCUCUAAUAGGAGACUGAUCUUCAGAUAUCAGAAAGUCAAGCUUUGGCUGGCUAUAAAUUAUUGGGUUGUCUUUGUUUUUAUUAUGUAUUUUGUGUUUUUUAUUUUGUUUAUCUGAUGCUGUGAACUGCCCUGAGAUUUAUGGGUAAGAUUUAUGGGUAUACAAUUGUUGUUGUUGUUGUUGUUGUUAUUUUGUAAACUUCAAAAAAAGAAGCCAGGGCCGUUUGAUAAUAAUCUGCCAAAAUAACGGUUAGCAACCAGAGGCAGCUAGUUUUAAUGGUCUUAUCAGAUCUUCUCCAUCUUUUUCAAAUAUUUCUAAUCUUUCAACUCUUUCCAAUCCUCAGUGGGAAAAGAAAAUGAAAGCUCACCUCACCAGUGUUUCUAGGGGACCCAAGCACCUGGAGGUCACAGCAUUAUGGGUGAAAGGAUGUCAGUGGCAAGGAGGCCUGGGACAAUGGGCCAGGUGUUUGCAUGUGCCCCCCCCCCCAGUUCAACUACGGCCUCCACUGGGUUUUCCAGAAGCCAUGCGAGAUUUUUCAGCCAAGCAGGUCAAGGCAAUGUUAUUAUUACAUUGAUUAAACUAAUUUUAUUAAAUUUCUAUGACACCCCUCAUUGGGGGAUCAUAUGCUUGUUUCACCUCUGCACUCUAAGUUAUGGGUGGCCUUUCUCUCUUGCCAGCAUUGUAUAUUGGAAACAAAAAAUGCCCAGUUUGAAAUUAUUAUUAUAAUUAUUAUGCAUUUAUUUGUACCCUGCCUUUUCCCUGAUGGGAACCCAAGGCAGUUUACGGAUGAAAAGAAGACAAGCUAAAACCUGGGCGGGGGAUCUACAAUUAAAAAGCAAUUAAACACUGAUAGAAUUAAAACUGUGUGUGUAUACAUAUAAAUAUCUUGUAAAACCAAACUAAUAAUGGCAAUAAAAACAGCACAGCAGAAGCCCUUUCAUUAAAAGCACAUUUUUAUUUUAUAUUGAUGUAUACUUCGCUAAUUGUAGAGUUGGAAGGGACCCCAAGGGUCAUGCAGGAAUCUUUCGCGCAACAUGGGACUCAAACCCAUGAAUCUUGGUCAAAAUUUUAGGCCUUUAUAGUGCAAUCCUAUACACAUUCUCUCAGAAGUUCUUUGAAGUUCAGUGAGUUUGAUUCCCAGGCAUAGCCCCGCAGCCUUCCAGCAAAGGCUCCUCUGUGUGCUGGAAUUUAUAUAUAUUUUUAUAUAUAGUUGUAAAGUAUUUUGUACUUCUUUGAUUUUACCACCCGAGGGAUUGAUAUAGGCACAAAAGGCCUUAUGAUCUUCAGAUGGACAGAAACUCCGUUGAACCUGUGUUCCUGUGGUGGAAUCUAAAAAUGAAAACACUUUUUCAAAAAAAAAGGUGUUUUGAAGAAUAUAUUGAAUUUGCCAUAACCUCACAAUUGCCAUCUAGUGUCACGUUUGUAUAAUGCACCUUCAAACAUUAUAUUUGCAGCCGUAGAGCUGAGUCUGGUGUCCUGGGCAAGGGUGGUUGGGAUCCCAGGGUAAAUAUAAGGCGCAAGAUCUUCUAGCACCACAAGUUUUUGCAAGUGGUCUCUAUGAAAAGCCAGUCAUGUGUUGUGCUGAGACUUAUAGUUUAGGGGCAAACUACAGUUCCCAUGAUUCUUCGGGGGUGGAGUCAUGUGCUGUAAUGUUAUGCCAUGUCCACAGCCACUAACCGCAACAAAGAGGAAUACUUUCUGGUGAAUUUUCCUUAAAUUGUCUCGUCUCAAGUAUAUUUUUAGCAUUUCUCUUGAAAUUUUUUGAUUGAUUUGACAUUUGUUUUAAAUACAGAACGUAAUCCAGUGUUUAAUCCAGAAGCCAGCCAGCUUUGGUGGAAAGAUUAGCAGAGCAAAUAUUAGCACUGCUCGAUCCAAGGAAUACUUGGAGGCUUUUAAACCAAGCCCGGUCAGAGAGCAGAUACUGUACGGUGUGAAAACCCCUAUGAAGAAAAAGAGAAAGGUCAGAGCACUUUCCAUUGGGAGUUUCCCAGUUUGGGAGAGAGCAGGAAAGCAAAGGUCCUUUUGUAGUCCAACCCUCUGCAAGGGAAGAAUCUUUUUGCCCCUCAAACCCAGGACUUUGAGAUGGAAAGUCUCCUGCUCUGCAGACUGAGCUGUCCCAGUGAUUUUCAGCGUCUGGGCAUGCGCAGAAGCAAUUUCCAGAGCCGCAGACACGCACAGAUGUGAUUUCUGUGGGAGUGAUCUGGCCCAUGGCCCUGGGUUAGGGUUAGGAUUUUGUUAGGGGUAGAGUUCCCUUCUUGCCAGGGAACCCUGGGAACAUGGGGCUCAAAGGAUGGCCCUGAGAUUAAGAGUCUUGUGCUCUGCCCAAUGAGCUAUAUUGAUUGAUCUAAAUAACAAACACUAUUUUUUAUUAUUUAAUAAUUUACAGUGAUGUAAAAUAAAGGGCAAUAUAAAUAAAUAAAUAAAUAAUCCCUCAACUGCCAAAACAAAUGGUCUUGUAGCACUGUAAAAACGUAACAGAUUUUGGGGAAACUGUUUAAGAGGGGGCCUUGGUGAGUGCUAAGAGGGUGCCAUGGAGUCCACGUGCCACCCUGGGAACCUCAGUCUGGACCCUAAUGAUGAAGCGAAUCACCAGUCCCUACAUAAUGGGAACGCCAUGUGUAACAUUAACCCCACAAGAGAGGUUGGUCUUUGUUCUCGCCUGGGAGCGGAGCGAUUGAGAGAGUGAGGAGGUGCAGGCUCCCAGAGUGAGGAGGUGAGAGAUGCUUCCAGGUUGUUCUUGUUGCAGUUCAAAGGCCUGGGACGUGCCUCCUUCGCAUCCGGCUCCCCAAGGCCACUUUGCACGACACCCACCUCCCAAAGAAGAGAAUUACAGAGUCUCAUGUGCCUUCCAUUUCGGGAGAAACUUCUCAAAGGAAUAUUUGCUCCCUUACAGGUUAACGGGUGUCAGGGGUUCAGGGACAGAGGCACAGGGUAGGGAGGAGAUGGAGAGCGAUGGGGGUGAAUCCCAGGACAGCGAGGAAGAGGAUGACAAUGACUCAAGAGAUUCCAUGAGUCUUUCCAGCGAAUCAGAGGAUUCCCAGAAGGGGGCGCCAGUGGUCAAGGCCAGGGGAGCCCCAGGGGGGACGUGUCAGGAACAGGGGGCCAGCGGGGGAUCCCAAAGUGACAGCUGGGCGUCAGGACCAGCCUCCCCACCAGAGUGCAGCGAAGGGGGUGGAGGGUCCAGUGUAUCAGGGGAAGCAGCUCCGGCAGCAGAGAAGGGAGGGAGGUCGGAGCAAGCCAUCCUCCCGGAAGGGGAGGGGAGUAGUGAAGGGAGUAGUGUAACUGUCAAAAGGAAAGUUAGAGGUUGGGCGC
rnacentral:lncRNA from 1 species